GGCCAGACUCCUACGGGAGGCAGCAGUGGGGGAUAUUGCACAAUGGGGGGAACCCUGAUGCAGCGACGCCGCGUGGGUGAAGAAGCGCCUCGGCGCGUAAAGCCCUGUCAGCAGGGAAGAGAAUGACGGUACCUGACUAAGAAGCCCCGGCUAACUACGUGCCAGCAGCCGCGGUAAUACGUAGGGGGCAAGCGUUAUCCGGAUUUACUGGGUGUAAAGGGAGCGUAGACGGCAGUGCAAGUCCGGAGUGAAAGCCCGGGGCUCAACCCUGGGACUGCUCUGGAAACUGUAGAGCUGGAGUGCGGGAGGGGCAGGCGGAAUUCCUGGUGUAGCGGUGAAAUGCGUAGAUAUCAGGAGGAACACCGGCGGCGAAGGCGGCCUGCUGGACCGUGACUGACGUUGAGGCUCGAGAGCGUGGGGAGCAAACAGGAUUAGAUACCCUAGUACCG
rnacentral:rRNA from 1 species